AAGUGGGGGGCUGCGGCGGGAGGUGAGGGCCGCCUGCCUGGCCGGACCCCAGGGGUGUCGGACGGUGGGCAGGGCCUCCUGGGAUCCCUGAGGCGCCGGCAGGAGGAGACGCCCUGGGGUCGGUGCCGCCACCUUCCCGUCCGGGCGGUUACAGCUUUCCCGCGUUCGCUGUCAGAGGCAGGGACCGGCGACCUCGGGGGCCUGGUCCCUGAGCCACAGCAGGGAGUCGUCCGAGCAUCUCGGGAUGAGGAAGCCUCCAGCAGCAGCCGCCUUAUAGACACUGCUUAGCCCGGUCCUGCACUUGCUCAGGUCCGGUCUCUGUAACAGAACACACGCGCAUCUCGUGAUGGUGCUUCUCUGAUGGAGCCUUAGCCGAUGCGCAGAAGUAGACAACUGUGUUGGGGCGGAGGAGGUGCCCUGAACUCCAGCUCAGCCCUCCUCCUCCCAAGCCCUUCCAUCCUAGGAUCAACAGGAGCCUGUGACUGACUACAGCAGGAGAGCAGGCGUGGCAUGGAUCCCGUGCAAGCCGGCAGUGGAGACCCAGCGCCUGAGAGUGACGUGGGGAACUAGCAGGAGCUAGAAGUGACUUAGGCCGAGCUUUUGUAAAGCGGAGGUGUGAGUGUAAUAUCAGGAUGAUUUGACUGCAAGCAACAGAGAAUCAAACAGAAAUGGCCUAGGGAGUCCCUUCGUGGCUCCCCAGUUAACAAUCUGACUGGAUCAUGAGGAUGCAGGUUCAAUCCCCGGCCUCUAUCAGUGGGCGAAGGAUCUAGUGCUACCAUGAGCUGUGCUGUGGUGUAGGCUGGCGGCCGCAGCUCCAGUUGGACCCCUAGCCCGGGAACUUCCAUAUGCUGUGGGUGCAGCCCUAAAAAGCAAAAACAAACAAAAAAAAUGAAACAAAACAAAACAAAAAAUCCACAAAAAAAAUCAGAAAUGGCCUAAACAAAGAAGAAAACAUGUUAUCCCAUACUACAAGAAGUUUGGGGGUUGAGUGGUUAAACGCAUGAUUAGUUUAGAAACUUGACAGCACCACCCAGGACCCAUUUUCCCUAAGGCGCUGCUGCCCCCCACCCUGUAGGCUUAGCCACCGCAGCAAAGACACCCCCCUUCCCCAACCAGAGCCCUGCGUCAGGACUGGAAAGGGCCUCCUUCCUUCCAUCCCCUUCCAGAACCUCCGCAGAAGACUCCCCUUGACGUCUCAUUCCAUCCCAUACUGGUCACUUGGCAGGGGGAACGGAUUUACCACGGUGGCCAGAGACAAAUUAAGUCGCCUCUGGAUCAUGAAGAGCCCCCAUCUCUGGAGAACACUUGACCACUCAGUACCCAGCAACUCGGGUACCCCUGGCAAGAAAGAGACAGGUGAUACCCACUGGGUCCUGUCCACAGCGCCUGCCCCCAGCAACCUGUCUACCUGGAAAACUGAGGGGGUGCCACGCGGGUCUGUGUCUUCUCUGUAGUUUGCCCGAGUCUUUCCCAUUAGGUAAGUGUCGCCCUUUUCCCUCUUUGCGGCUUUCCUCCUUGGCACGUCACCCAGGUUUUGUUCAGCCACAAGGGGCGAUAGGCUGAAAGAGGAAUCUCCAGGCCUAGGUGAUGGGCCAGCCGUGGUGAUCCUCACCCGUUUGCCUGGGCACCGUUUGGGAAACGUCCCCCUGCUCACCACGGAGAUGAAAGACCAGGUCCCUGGAGGGGCUUCGCGGAAGGAUUUUUCUCCCCAGUAAAGCGGCAGACCAGCCAAGGGUCCGCCGCCCUACGCGCCGUCUGCCUCUGAGCCGCCGCCAGCUCACACCCUUGAGCAGAAACGUUGCAGGGAGGCAGAAAGGGCCGAGUCUCAUGGAUUGUGCUGAGCGUUGCAUCCACCCAGGACUGCUUACCUUCAGACUUCUGCUCCGGUGGCAGAGCAGCAAACCCCUAUUGUGUAAGCCUUUGUAGAUGGCUGGUGCCACUUGCUGCUGAAAGUGACAGAUAAUCUUUCUAGGAAUAUAACCCCUAAAGCCCUUUAUGGUAACAGAUGCACUUAGAGAAUGUAGUUUUCUUUCUUUUUCUUACUUAAAAAAAAAAAAA
rnacentral:lncRNA from 1 species